rnacentral:tRNA from 1 species
UACAUACUUGCUCAGUGGUAGAGCGAUAAUCUGAAAUGAUAAGUGCAGGUUCAAUUCCUGGGGUGUUACCA